GGAAAGUACAGAGACAAAAGGCUAGAUGCAUUUUCUUAGUUACAACCAGAAUAUAAGCUUAAAAGAUCUCUCAGGGCUCAAUAUUCUUCUUGAAGCCUUGACUGCUGGAGGCCUCUGAUUAGGGGAGGAGCUCUGCUUACAUUAGGAAACAUGCCAUUUUCUAGUUCCACAGUUGCAAAGAAAAUGUGAUUUGAGUGACAGUAAAGACCCAAAAACAAUAGGUGGAGCUAUCAGACAAGAGGAAAUGGACUAGAAGUUAACCCGCCAAACCUUGCUGUGUUGAUUCCAUGCUUUCCAAGCCCUGUCAAUAGCAUUGGCAAGCAAAAUGAAGAUUAACCAAAAAUGCAGCUAAGAUGGCAUCAAGUAGCAGCACAAAAAGAUUGUGUAUGGAGGAAACAAGCUAACCCCGACCCAAGG